UGAUCAUGGCUCAGGACGAACGCGGGGGCGUGCCUAAUACAUGCAAGUCGAACGCUUCUUUCCUCCCGAGUGCUUGCACUCAAUUGGAAAGAGGAGUGGCGGAUGGGUGAGUAACACGUGGGUAACCUACCCAUCAGAGGGGGAUAACACUUGGAAACAGGUGCUAAUACCGCAUAACAGUUUAUGCCGCAUGGCAUAAGAGUGAAAGGCGCUUUCGGGUGUCGCAUGAUGGAUGGACCCGCGGUGCAUUAGCUAGUUGGUGAGGUAACGGCUCACCAAGGCCACGAUGCAUAGCCGACCUGAGAGGGUGAUCGGCCACACUGGGACUGAGACACGGCCCAGACUCCUACGGGAGGCAGCAGUAGGGAAUCUUCGGCAAUGGACGAAAGUCUGACCGAGCAACGCCGCUUGAGUGAAGAAGGUUUUCGGAUCGUAAAACUCUGUUGUUAGAGAAGAACAAGGACGUUAGUAAGCUGAAC
rnacentral:rRNA from 1 species